rnacentral:rRNA from 1 species
GCUUUAUUUUUAAUUUAAUUAUUUUUAUUUUUAAUUUAAUUAUUUUAUAGAAAUAACUUUGUUUUUAGUAUCUUUUAAGGAAUUAAUUAAUUUUUAUUUAUAGUUUAUUUUACUGUGAAGGAUUAUUUUUAAUAUUUUGUAAGUAAAAUUUAUUUUUUGUACCUUUUGUAUCAGGGUUUAUUAAUCUUUUUUAAUUAUUAUUAAAUAAUCCCGAAUUUGGGAGAGAUAUUGGCAAUUGAUUUUUAAUGUGGAAAAAUUAUUAUUAAAUUGUUAAUAGGUGUUAUAUGCUAUUCAUUCCUAAAUAUCUGGUUUCUUAAGAGAUGAAUUUAAUUCAGGUUUAAAGUUUUAAAAGGUAAAUUAAAUUUCUUUUUAAUAUUUUAAUCUAAAGUUAAUAGGGAUAAGCUUAUUAAUUUGUUCUAUAAUUCUUUAUUUUUAUAAAUUUUAAGUAGGAUUAGAAAUUUCUAUCAUUUAUUUUGUUAUAAUAACUAAUUAUUUAUAAUUUAUUUUGUGGGAAUUUAGUUUUUUAUUAAGAAUUUUUUUUUAAUUAUUUAAAAAAAGUUAUAAUGAUAAAAUUAGUAAUUGUUAAAAUCAGUAUAUAUUAACUCGGCAAAUAUAUUCUUCACCUGUUUAACAAAAACAUGUCUUGAUGAAAUUAAUAUUAAGUCUAGCCUGCUCAAUGAUUUAUAUAAUUAAAUAGCCGCAGUAUUUUGACUGUGCGAAGGUAGCAUAAUCAUUUGUCUUUUAAUUGAAGGCUUGUAUGAAUGGUUGGAUGAGGGAAUAACUUUAUUUAUACUGUGACAUUGAAUUUAAUUUUUUGGUUAAAAAGCUAAAAUUUUUAAAUGGGACGAGAAGACCCUAUAGAAUUUUAUUUUUCUUGUGAUUGUUUUAUGAUGGUUAUAAAAUAUAGUAAUUACAAUUUGAAUUUUGUUGGGGUGACAGUGAGGUUUAUUUAACUCUCAUAUAUUUUAUUUUAUUUAUUUGUAUAUAUUUUGAUCCUUUAUUUAAGAUUAUUAGAUUAAAUUACCUUAGGGAUAACAGCGUAAUUUUUCUGGAGAGUUCUUAUCGAUGGAGAAGUUUGCGACCUCGAUGUUGGAUUAAAAUUAGAAUUAAGUGCAGAAGCUUAAUUUCUAGGUCUGUUCGACCUUUAAAUUUUUACAUGAUCUGAGUUCAGACCGGCGUAAGCCAGGUCGGUUUCUAUCUUUUUGUUAUAUUAAUAUAAAUUAGUACGAAAGGACCGUUUAUAUCAAAUAUUUUGUUAUUUUUGAAUAUUAUUA